rnacentral:misc_RNA from 1 species
AAAAAUUAAAAUAAUUUACUCUAAUUAAUAGCAAAAGCAAGCUCCUCUGAUUCUACAGAUGAUAACACAAAGAAAGUCUCCGCCCUUAUCCUCCUUAAUACUUCAAAUAAGAAUUUAAUGCCAAUCAGCCAUCAACCAACAAAAUGCAAAAAAUUUUCAAUCCUACCAAUUCAAUUACUUAAACUGCAUCCAAUUAGUUAAGUACAUAAUUAGUCAUUCAU